GUAGGGAAUAUUGGGCAAUGGAGGCAACUCUGACCCAGCCAUGCCGCGUGCAGGAUGACGGCCCUCUGGGUUGUAAACUGCUUUUAUACGGGAAGAAAAAAUACUACGUGUAGUAUACUGACGGUACCGUAAGAAUAAGGAUCGGCUAACUCCGUGCCAGCAGCCGCGGUAAUACGGAGGAUCCAAGCGUUGUCCGGAUUUAUUGGGUUUAAAGGGUGCGUAGGCGGAUCUUUAAGUCAGUGGUGAAAGCCUGCAGCUUGACUGUAGAAUGGCCAUUGAAACUGAAGAUCUUGAAUGUGGUUAAAGUAGGCGGAAUGUAUCAUGUAGCGGUGAAAUGCUUAGAUAUGAUACAGAACACCGAUAGCGAAGGCAGCUUGCUGAACCAUUAUUGACGCUGAGGCACGAAAGCGUGGGGAGCGAACAGGAUUAGAAACCCCUGUAGUCC
rnacentral:rRNA from 1 species